CUCAGGACGAACGCUGGCGGUGUGCUUCACACAUGCAAGUCGAACGAGGUAGCAAUACCUAGUGGCGGACGGGUGAGUAACGCGUGGGAAUCUGCCUUAAGAUGGGGGAUAACGAGCCGAAAGGCUCGCUAAUACCGCAUAUGCCGAAAGGUGAAAGGAGUAAUCCGUCUUAAGAUGAGCCCGCGUCCGAUUAGCUAGUUGGUAGGGUAAAGGCCUACCAAGGCGACGAUCGGUAGCUGGUCUGAGAGGAUGACUCAGCCACAAUGGGACUGAGACACGGACCCAAUACUCCUACGGGAGGCAGCAGUGGGGAAUUUUACGCAAUGGGGGAAACCCUGACGUAGCGACACCGCGUGAGCGAAGAAGCCCCUUGGGGUGUAAAGCUCUGUCAGCUGGAACGAAAAAAAUGACGGUACCAGCAGAGGAAGCAUCGGCUAACUACGUG
rnacentral:rRNA from 1 species